GUGAAUCAUCAAAUUUUUGAACGCAAAUUGCACUCUCCUCGGAGAGUAUGACUGUUUGAGGGUCGUUAGAAUAAAAAAUCGAGGCGCCGCUUUUUUUUUGAGGGUGAUCGCGUCGGAAUUGAGCCGUUUUUAAAAUGUUAAUUUAUGUCAAAGUGGCUUAAAAUUUAUUCAUCCGGUACGAUUAAAAAGUAUUUAAGAUCAAUUCUGUUCAAG
rnacentral:misc_RNA from 1 species